rnacentral:rRNA from 1 species
CAGGACGAACGCUGGCGGCGUGCUUCAUACAUGCAAGUCGAACGAGAAGCUGACUUCGGUCAGUGGAAAGUGGCGGACGGGUGAGUAAUGUGUAGAGAAUCUGCCCUAGAGAGAGGGACAACAGUUGGAAACGACUGCUAAUACCUCAUAUGCGCGUAGCUGAGAUGCUAUUCGUGAAAACUCCGGUGCUCUGGGAUGAGUCUGCAUCUGAUUAGCUAGUUGGCGGUGUAAUGGACCACCAAGGCGACGAUCAGUAGCUGGUUUGAGAGGGUGAUCAGCCACAAUGGGACUGAGACACGGCCCAUACUCCUACGGGAGGCAGCAGUAGGGAAUUUUGCGCAAUGGGGGAAACCCUGACGCAAGCAACGCCGCGUGAUUGAAUAAGCCCUUCGGGGUGUAAAGAUCUGUCAGUAGGGACGAAACUUGACGGUACCUACAGAGGAAGCAUCGGCUAACUCCGUGCCAGCCGCUGC